CCCUUAGAUGUCCUGGGCUGCACGCGCGCUACACUGAUGUGUCCAGUAAGAACCUAACCUCUUCCGAAAGGAACGGGUAACCUUUGCAAAGCACAUCGUGAUGGGGAUAGAUUAUUGCAAUUAUUAGUCUUGAACGAGGAAUUCCUAGUAAGCACAAGUCAUCAGCUUGUGUUGAUUACGUCCCUGCCCUUUGUACACACCGCCCGUCGCUCCUACCGAUUGAAUGUUCCGGUGAGCUCUUCGGACUGCGCGGUCUGCAGUUUCUGCGUUCCGUGCGGAAAGUUGCGCAAACCUUAACAUUUAGAGGAAGGAGAAGUCGUAACA
rnacentral:rRNA from 1 species